CUCUCCUCCUCCCCGCGUCUCUCUCCCUCUUCUCUGCAACUCCGGCCACCUCUUGAUUCCGGCCACCUGGGAACGAACAAGUGCCACCGCUGGACUCCUCUACUCCUACCCAACCUCCCCACGGCGAUAACUCACGGCGGUUUGGACGGAAAACGAAGAAUCAAGCCCGGAAACUUUACUGUAGCAGUUUGAGUCAACGCCGAUUUCUCUCGAUUCCGGCCAUCUCCAGCCACCAAACCAGCGUCGAAGGUUCGGUUUUUGACAAGGAUCAUUUUCCCCCUAGACUUGAGCCACGAUUUGCAGUGUAGAGGAAGAAUCGACGAUUGGAAGAUUACGGUCACUAUUCACAGUUUGAGUUCAAGCUUCUCCUUAAUUGUUGAGGGCAAUUUUGCGAGCUACGGCUAGAUGAAGGGACUCGUUUGCGUGGUCGCCAACUAGUACUAUGGCUCAAGGGAGAGGGAAGCGGAUAAGGAAGGUUCAAAAAGUGCCUCCACCUCAACAGCCAGCUACAACAACUAUAGCAGAUAAUGUGUCAGCUAGACCUACUGUGCGUGAGAAUGUGCCAGCAACGCCAACUAUGACAGAUUAUGCGUUUGCUACCCUUACUGUGCGUGAAAAUGUGCCACCAACAACUAUUGUUCAUGCUCAUGUCAGUCAUGUACGAGCAAGAGUUAACACGCCACCAAGAGCUAAUUUGCCACCACAAACUAACGUGCCACUACCAGCUAACAUGUCUAUUGCCUACUCCCAAUUUGCAAAAUGUCUAUUGCCUACUCCCAAUUCAAGACUUGACUAAAGAAGGAAUGGAAAGCAUUUGGCUAACCUGAGCUAGGAAGAGCAAACUUGCCUAGUGCAGAUUUAUGGAAUGAGAGACCUGUCUCACAUUGGCACUGGCUUUGUGACAACAUAUACACCAACCAGUCUUGCAUUGAGAUUGCGGAAAAGAAUUCUGAAUUCUGCUAACAGGUAUAUGCAACAACAUACUCACAGAGCUGGUGCACGGCCAUACGUGCAACAUGCUUUGGUGGCAUCUAAGGGUGGGAAGGAGUUGUCACUCAUACAGAAUUGGGGAGAGAAACACAAGGAUAAUAAUCAUAAUGGAUCAAUGAGGCUGCCAAGAACAAAUAUGAGAAGAUGGAAGCUGAGAGGAAUGCCCUUUUAGAGAAGUUGUACCAAGAGGCACCCGAGGGUACUGCACAUGAUUCUAUCAAACUUACUUUGGAAGCUGAGUACCCAAUAAUGGCUAAGGAGCUUGGGAGGAAGGGUAGGAUGAUCCAUGGCAUUGGUAACGUCCCUCACAUACGUUCUAACAUAUGCAGAGUAUCUGCAUGGGGUAGCAACAAUUCUGAGGUAGCUGAAUUGCGUGAUCUUAUCGACCAACUUACCUUUAACAUGCUCAGUAUGAAGGAACAAAAUGGACUAUUGAAGGCUCAAGUGGAAUGUUUAUUGAGGCAAUCUCCUGGGCAGAUGAGUGAGGAUGACUUCCCCCAUCCCAGGACCAACUUCUAAGACUUUGCUUGAGUAGUUUGGGUGAGCAUAUGCUAGACUUUUGGUCUGAUGUCCCUUUUUGUGCAGUUAUAGCUUUUUACCUUGAUUAUGGUACUGUCUAGCAAUACUCAAGCAAAUCCAAUGUGUCCCUUUUGAGUAAUGCAAGCUGACACAUAACUAGUAUAUUAGAACUUUGGUGGAUUUACUUGAGUUUUGACCUUGUGCCUCACUCAGCUCAAAGUCUCAACACAUAUAGGACAUCUAAUUAGAUUAGUGCAGCUAAUGUAGGCUGAGUAGCUUCUAACUUUUGAUGUACAAAUGAACAAGUUGAUUAUAUAUGAAGCAGUUAUUUAAUGUGAAAUAUGAAGAAUUUCUUUUA